CCUACGGGUGGCAGCAGUGGGGAAUAUUGCGCAAUGGGCGAAAGCCUGACGCAGCGACGCCGCGUGAGGGAUGAAGGUCUUCGGAUUGUUAACCUUCGUCAGCAGGGAAGAACUGUCACUGUGCUAAUCAGCAGUGAAUUGACCGUACCUGCAAAGGAAGCACCGGCUAACUCCGUGCCAUCAGCUGCGGUAAUACGUAGGGUGCGUGCGUUAAUCGGAAUUACUUGGCAUAAAGCGCUCGUAGGCGGUAUGUCAAGUCAAGGGUGAAAUCGCCGCGCUCAAAGUUGGAACUGCCGUUGAAACUGGCAGACUGGAGUGUGUGAGAGGAUGGUGGAAUUCGAGGUGUAGGAGUGAAAUGCGUAGAUAUCUGGAAGAACAUCGGUGGCGAAGGCGACUAUCUGGCACAUAACUGACGCUGAGGAGCGAAAGCGUGGGUAGCGAACAGGAUUAGAUACCCCAGUAGUC
rnacentral:rRNA from 1 species